rnacentral:rRNA from 1 species
AGAGUUUGAUCCUGGCUCAGGACGAACGCUGGCGGCGUGCUUAACACAUGCAAGUCGAACGAGGAUGCAGGAGAGCUUGCUCGAAUGUAUCCGAGUGGCGGACGGGUGAGUAACGCGUGAACAAUCUGUCUCAUACAGGGGGAUAACGCAUCGAAAGAUGUGCUAAUACCGCGUAGGACCACGGGUUCGCAUGGGCCUGAGGUGAAAGACGAAAGUCGGUAUGAGGUGAGUUCGCGUCUGAUUAGAUAGUUGGUGAGGUAACGGCCCACCAAGUCAACGAUCAGUAGCCGACCUGAGAGGGUGAUCGGCCACAUUGGGACUGAGACACGGCCCAGACUCCUACGGGAGGCAGCAGUGGGGAAUAUUGGGCAAUGGGCGCAAGCCUGACCCAGCAACGCCGCGUGAAGGAAGAAGGUUUUCGGAUCGUAAACUUCUGUCCUAUGUGAAGAUAGUGACGGUAGCAUAGGAGGAAGCCCCGGCUAACUACGUGCCAGCAGCCGCGGUAAUACGUAGGGGGCGAGCGUUGUCCGGAAUGAUUGGGCGUAAAGGGCGCGUAGGCGGCUUGAUAAGUCUGGAGUGAAAGUCCUGUUUUCAAGAUGGGAAUUGCUUUGGAUACUGUUGAGCUUGAGUGCAGGAGAGGUUAUCGGAAUUCCCAGUGUAGCGGUGAAAUGCGUAGAGAUCGGGAGGAACACCAGUGGCGAAGGCGGGUAACUGGACUGCAACUGACGCUGAGGCGCGAAAGUGUGGGGAGCAAACAGGAUUAGAUACCCUGGUAGUCCACACUGUAAACGAUGAAUGCUAGGUGUAAGAGGUAUCGACCCCUUUUGUGCCGGAGUCAACACAAUAAGCAUUCCGCCUGGGGAGUACGGCC